rnacentral:rRNA from 1 species
AACGAACGCUGGCGGCAUGCCUAACACAUGCAAGUCGAACGAACCCUUCGGGGUUAGUGGCGCACGGGUGCGUAACGCGUGGGAAUCUGCCCUUUGCUUCGGAAUAACAGUUAGAAAUGACUGCUAAUACCGGAUGAUGUCUUCGGACCAAAGAUUUAUCGGCAAGGGAUGAGCCCGCGUAGGAUUAGGUAGUUGGUGGGGUAAAGGCCUACCAAGCCGACGAUCCUUAGCUGGUCUGAGAGGAUGAUCAGCCACACUGGGACUGAGACACGGCCCAGACUCCUACGGGAGGCAGCAGUGGGGAAUAUUGGACAAUGGGCGCAAGCCUGAUCCAGCAAUGCCGCGUGAGUGAUGAAGGCCUUCGGGUCGUAAAGCUCUUUUACAGGGAUGAUAAUGACAGUACCUGGAGAAUAAGCUCCGGCUAACUCCGUGCCAGCCGCCGCCGUAAGAC